CCUACGGGCGGCAGCAGUGAGGAAUAUUGGUCAAUGGGCGGGAGCCUGAACCAGCCAAGCCGCGUGAGGGAAGAAGGUACAGCGUAUCGUAAACCUCUUUUGCCAGGGAACAAAGGCGGGGACUAGUCCCUGGAUGAGGGUACCUGAAGAAAAAGCAUCGGCAAACCCCGUGCCAACAGCCGCGGUAAUACGGGGGAUGCGAGCUUUAUCCGGAUUUAUUGGGUUUAAGGGGUGCGCAGGCGGCCUGUUAAGUCAGCGGUAAAAGCCCGGGGCUCAACCCCGGCGAGCCGUUGAAACUGGCGAGCUUGAGUUGGAGAGAGGUACGCGGAAGGCGCGGUGUAGCGGUGAAAUGCUUAGAUAUCGCGCAGAACACCGAUUGCGAAGGCAGCGUACCGGCUCCACACUGACGCUGAGGCACGAAAGCGUGGGUAUCGAACAGGAUUAGAUACCCUGGUAGUC
rnacentral:rRNA from 1 species